rnacentral:rRNA from 1 species
UACGUAGGGGGCAAGCGUUGUCCGGAAUCAUUGGGCGUAAAGCGCGUGUAGGCGGUCCGGUAAGUCCGCUGUGAAAGUCGGGGGCUCAACCCUCGGAUGCCGGUGGAUACUGUCGGGCUUGAGUACGGAAGAGGCGAGUGGAAUUCCUGGUGUAGCGGUGGAAUGCGCAGAUAUCAGGAGGAACACCAAUAGCGAAGGCAGCUCGCUGGGACGUUACUGACACUAAGGCGCGAAAGCGUGGGGAGCGAACGAGG